ACUCCUACGGGAGGCAGCAGUGGGGAAUAUUGCACAAUGGGCGCAAGCCUGAUGCAGCCAUGCCGCGUGUAUGAAGAAGGCCUUCGGGUUGUAAAGUACUUUCAGCAGUGAGGAAGGUGGAUAUGUUAAUAGCAUAUUCAUUUGACGUUAGCUGCAGAAGAAGCACCGGCUAACUCCGUGCCAGCAGCCGCGGUAAUACGGAGGGUGCGAGCGUUAAUCGGAAUUACUGGGCGUAAAGCGCAUGCAGGUGGUUUGUUAAGUCAGAUGUGAAAGCCCGGGGCUCAACCUCGGAAUUGCAUUUGAAACUGGCAAACUAGAGUACUGUAGAGGGGGGUAGAAUUUCAGGUGUAGCGGUGAAAUGCGUAGAGAUCUGAAGGAAUACCGGUGGCGAAGGCGGCCCCCUGGACAGAUACUGACACUCAGAUGCGAAAGCGUGGGGAGCAAACAGGAUUAGAUACCUGGUAGGCGUAG
rnacentral:rRNA from 1 species